GACGAACGCUGGCGGCGUGCUUAACACAUGCAAGUCGAGCGGUAAGGCCCCUUCGGGGGUACACGAGCGGCGAACGGGUGAGUAACACGUGGGUGACCUGCCCUCAGCUCUGGGAUAAGCCUGGGAAACUGGGUCUAAUACCGGAUAUGACUCCAUGACGCAUGUCGUGGGGUGGAAAGCCUUGUGCGGCUGGGGAUGGGCCCGCGGCCUAUCAGCUUGUUGGUGGGGUGAUGGCCUACCAAGGCGACGACGGGUAGCCGGCCUGAGAGGGCGACCGGCCACACUGGGACUGAGACACGGGCCCAGACUCCUACGGGAGGCAGCAGUGGGGAAUCUUGCGCAAUGGGCGAAAGCCUGACGCAGCGACGCCGCGU
rnacentral:rRNA from 1 species